ensembl:lncRNA
CCUGAUUCUAACAACUUUAAGCAGGGCAAAGACAAACACAAAUACAUAUCCAAUCUGGAAGACUGCCUCUCCUCUCUGAAGACUAUAAGACUUCAGGGAUCAUGAGUUCCACAGCCUGAAGGAUAAGACCUGGAAUGAAGUCAUGGAAACACAGCAGAAAUUUCCUACUAAUCAAUUAGACUGAGAAAGUAGCAAGAGGCUGUGUGGGAACGCUUCACGAACAAGCUUUGGUUUUGUGAACUGUCUUUUCGACAUUAUCAAGGACUUUAUCUACCCUUCCGAGACUUCACCAUCCUUGGAUUUCAUUUCCAUGCUCACAAAGUAUUUCUGAGGGAGCCUGUGCCAGAGCCACCAGACCGACUGCCUGAAUUAUGCAGCUGCUGUCUUUUAUCUUGA